rnacentral:lncRNA from 1 species
UCUCGUCCCCGCGUCCGUUGUCUUCGACCUCGGUGGUCGUAAUCUCUGGGUAGACUGCGACAGAGGUUACGUCUCCUCCACUUACCGCUCCACUCGCUGCCGCUCCGCCGUGUGCUCACGCGCCGGCUCAGACGGCUGCAGCCAGUGCUUCUCUCCUCCAAGACCCGGCUGUAACAACAACACGUGCAGCGGAACUCCCGACAACACUGUCACCAGAACCGCGACUUCCGGCGAAAUCGCUACAGACGUAGUGUCUAUCCAGUCCACCAACGGAUCCAACCCGGGUCGGAUAGUUCAAAUCCCCGACUUGGUUUUCGUUUGCGGGGCAACCUUUCUGCUCCAAGGACUCGCUAGUGCUGAUUGGCGCUAGUGGUCAUGCACCAGAAAAUUAGUCAGUUAGAUCUUGGGUCGCUGGAUAUCGGAUAAUAUGAGAAAAAAAAACAUUGUCUAUAAGAUAGAUGAUAAGAAAAAGAGUCUAAAACACAUGUCUAAUAAGUUGGUUGAAUUUAAAAUAAAACAUAUGUAACACCAACAAUAAAUUAUAGUCUGAACGAUAACUGAAAAAAAAUAAGAAAAAUGUUCAAUCUGCAUUCAUCAACAUGAUAAUAGACUGUACUAGGGUCGGGCCGCGCUAUGCGCGGAAUAUGCUUUACGUGUGAUAUAUAAAACUAUAAUAUUGUGUAUAAAAUAUUACCUUUUAUAUUUAUUUGUUUUAAGAAAAGUUUGGCUAUAUAUUAUGCAUAAAUCAUUAUUUUCGUUAUUGCUUUUCUUUUUUUUUAUCUUUGUUGCAUUAAAUUAAUUUUUAAUAUGAUUGUGUAGAUUGUUUUAGUGGGGUUAUGUUUUAUGUUUAUUUUUGGACUGUAAAAAGUUUAGUAUAUUUCAUUAAUGCUUUUUAGUUAAAUUGUUUUAUAUUAUGUCUUUGAUUCAGUAAGUGAAAUUAUAUAUAUAUAUAUUUUUUUUUCAUAUCACUGUUAGAUUUUUGUUAAAGAUUUGUUUUGUCGAACUGUGAAAUAAUUUUGAAAAGGUCCUACAGAGCUUCAUGUAAAAUUGCAAUAUAAAAAAUAUUAUUUAAUUUUUCUUACAAAGAUAAAAAAAAUGUAUCUAUCACAAAGCAUUAUGCAUUCAUACAAGCUUCACUAAUAUAACUAAUUAGAUAAAGUAGAAGAUAAAGCAUUAUAUAUAACAUUAGUUUAAUUUAUUUUCAUUUUCUACUAUCUGACAAAAGUAUUUAACAUUAGUAAAAGUUCACUAAUAUUUAUUGUAAGUUAUUUUUAUACCUAAAUAAUAUACUAUGACAUAUUCCCUCUAUUCACAAUAAGUGUUGUUCAAAGUUUUCUCACAAGAUUAAGAAAACUAGUAUUUUUGUUUUAUCUUUUACCCUUUUUAAUACAUUAUUCUGUUUAUCUUUCGUUAGUUAAUGAAUUAGAAAUAAGGGUAAAACCUGGAAAAUUCAUCUAAUAUAUGCAUUGAAAACAUAAAUGACACUUAUGUUAAAUGACACUUAUGUUUUCAUUAUGUACAAAGAAAAUUUAAAUAUUAUGCAUAUAGAUUAAUCAUUUUCGCAUUAAAUACAAAGAUAAGUAAAAUGUAUGAUAAAAUAUUUAUAAUAGUGUAUUAUAAUUUUAUUUGCUUCAAUCAAUUUACAUAAUAUUUAAAAAAUUAAAAAAUAUAUUUUAUAAACCAUAAAUAUGGCUAUAAAUAAAAUUUCACAUUUAUAAAUAUAAAAAUAGAUAGCUAAAAAAUAAUUCGUGUAAAGGUAUAAGUAGAAAAUCAAAAAUGUUAUUUUAUAUAAAUUUUCAGAAAAUAAAAUUUAAUUAAAGUUUAAAUGUAUUAAAUGUAGUAUAUAUAAUAAAGUGAAUUCUUUUAUUGCGAAGUCCUUGUUAGAAAUAAAGGAAUUUAUUUUUCUGCUAGUCAAACUAAUAUUUUUUAUUACCUUAAUAAACCCAAAAGAGAAAAGCAUUUCUAUAUACUGAACAUUCAUUGUAGUCAACAAAUUAUAAUUCCUUAGUCAAAGUUAUACAAUCAUACGUAUCUAUGUAUCAAGUAUUAAAUGUAGUAUCUUUAUAAAUAAAGUUGACAUAUCUGUUUUCUCAGCCGUCCACGUUACUUUGGAGAGGAGGGUUUUUUCGCCACGUGCCACUCUUAAACACAAGCUGAAAUUACGUUUUGUUCCCAAUGUUUGUACUGGUCUUUCUGAUUGCCGAUGGGCUUUGUAAACAAAUUUUUUUUAUUGCAGAUGGACUUAAACAAAAUGGAAAAAGACGUUAAGACUUAGGUUUCCUCUUCCUCUGGUUCCUCUUCUUCUUCUUACGGACUAAACUUUCGAGAUGCCUUUCACCUCCCCGUAACGUCUAAAAUGACCUCUUCCAUCCCACAGUAACAUGCUGAAGGUUAUAAGGUGCGACGAUGGCCACCACAACUCAAACGAGAUCGAGAAGAAUAGUUUGUUCUAACAACCAUUACUGUACAUCCGGGACGAUCAGCAAUUAGUAUCAAACGCAGAAGAAUGAAUCAAAAUUCAGAUCGUAAGAAACAAUUAUAAAGUCCAAGAGAUCUAGACAUUUGAUAUACCUUCGGUUUAGUUUUCAUAUGUUGACAGGAUUCAAUCAAGAUGGCGGAUUACGGACUCCAAGGCGGAGAGGAGUUUCGGAGGAGGCGGAGCAGAAGCUCCGUGGUGAUUACAUGUCGUCGUAUUUUGUGAAGUUGAGGCCAUUGGAUUUUAAUCCUAACCAAAGCUGUAACUUUCUCAGCCUUCCUUCACCCUAAUUCGGCAUUGUGUAAUGAAGCGAUGCAAGUUGCGCUAGCACUGUGUUUCAAAGAGUCCGGCUAGGCAAGGCGGUUGUUGAUUCCGUUGAGAAUGCAGUAUUGUUUAUCGGAUCCAUGGCAAUACUUUUUGUUUGUGUUGUUAGGAUUGUUGCACACGUGAUGAACUUAUUCACAUAUGGAAGCGAUGAAGCAGAAGUUCUUGCACAUGAGGAGCAGCGAAUUUAGGUGAAAUAACAUGGAAGAGCUCCAUAGAGUUGUCUAUGAUCAAGUCUUUCUUCUCAUUCUUUGACUUGUCAGGUACCGUUUCUUUUAUCACUUAUCAUGUACCUUCUUCCUGUAAAAAUAUCAAUCUAAAGUUGCAGAGAACUUGUCCAUGUUGGUACCUGUUGUGUAUUCUUUAUGUUUGGAUUUUUUUCAGAUAGCUUCUGCUUAUCUACCAUCUUGCGAGAAACAUGGAUUACGCUUAUCAGAACUGUUGUUCUGUUGGCAGCCAGAUAAAGAAAAUCAGUUGCUUAUUUAAGUUACACAUAUUACCAUUCUCUAUUGUUGCUUUAAAUCUUAAGAUCUUGUCUGAAGGCUUCACAUGGUUAUUACGUUUCUCCUGAUGCAGAGUCUAGAGAUUUGCCAUCUAUAUGAAUUUAGUAAUGCCAGCUCUAAACUUAUAACAGGAUUGACACACUUGUGUUUUCUUAUCUCAAAAGUUGCUGAAAAAACAGAUUCCAUCUGAAAUAAGUUAUGAUACUUAGAUCUCUGAAGUGCAUCACUGAAAACAUGUGGAAGAAGGGUCAGGGAUUUUCCGGCUUCAGCAAGCCCGGGCCGAGCACUGUCUAAAAGUGAUGGUUGUCAAAAGCUGUUUUAUUAUGUUGGAAAAUCAGUGUCCAAUAAAAAUCUCAAGGUAUAUAUUCACCAAGUCAUACUCCAAACAUAUUUUCUUAUGUAUUUGCCCUUUUUAGUUCAUACUUUAACAUGCAGCAAUAGGAGGGUCUGGUGGAGUUGCUGGGUUUAGAAUCACAAAUCUCUGGCAAUCUUGAUUUUCUUUACAAGUAUUAGUCAUCGAUCUCUUCUGCGAUAAUGAUUUUUGGUUCUGUAAUCACAUACGAGCUCACUUUUUUCCUUUCAUUUGGCUGCUUAGACUUGAUGUAACUUAUGAUUCUAAUGAUUUAAAUUCCCGUCAGCUUAUAACACCACCUUUAUGUUAUUUAACGAUGACCAUUAACAAAACAAACAACCGCCAACUACACUCACCUUCACUGACGGUCUUGAGAACACACACAUCAACAAGAUUCCAACUUCUACAAAACUCUUCUCGCAUUCAGCUACAAACUAUUGCUCUGUUCCUUAUCUCUUAUAAAUCUUGCAUUACAGUUUAUAAAGGAAAAGAAAGCCUGAGAUUGGUCACGGUUCAAGAAAUAUUUAAUAGGGAAUUAUUUUUUAUUAUUAUAUUAGUAAUUAUUUGUAAUUAAUAAUUAUUUAUAUUGGUAUUACAUAAAAUAAUAAAGUGUUAUAUUUUUUAGCAAAAUAAUAAUAAUAAUAAAGUGUAUAAUUUAAAAUCACAAAAAAUAAUUUUAUUUGUAUGAUAAAUAUAUAUCUGUAGUAUUUUUGGCACAAAUAUAUAUAAUUUUUUUUUAUUAAUACAUAUUCUAAGAAAUAUUAUGCUAAACAAGUGUUCAAUUUUUCACAAUAUUAGAUGUGACAUCAUGAUGGACAAAACCAGUAUUUUGACCUUAUAUAUUUACAACAAUAAUUAUAUGUAAUUGAGAGCACUAUAAUUUUAAUUUUGUAUCUAAGUUAAAACAAUAAGAGUUCAUUGAUAUAUAUACUGAGUUGACUUUUCUUAUAAGAGCAAAAAGGUUAAUGAAAAAUUAGUCAACAGAGUUUUAAAAAUAUAAAAUUAGCCAACAAAUAAUAAUUUAGUGACAAUACAUAAUAUAAUUCAAUAAUAUAAAAAUUCCAAUAAUAAAAGAAACUUUUAUAAAAACAAAAGGGUGGAAAAUUUAUUUAUGAUAUUGUCUUUUUAGUUUCAUCAAGUUUAAAUAGUUAACAAGAAAAUGAUUCAACCAAGAACCAAAAAUUAACAUAUAAUCAUAACAAAAAAAAAAAAAAAAUUCAAAGUUGAGAAAAUAAAAUAUGUUAUAAUAAAUAAAACAAAAAUAUAACACACAAAAUAAAUGUGAUUUCUUAAAAAAAAAUCAAGCAUAAAUUUAAUAUUUAUAUAAAUAGUACAUAUUUGCAGAGUCUAAACGGAAAACCGCAUUAUAAAUUUUUUUGACAAGAAACACAUAAAAUAUAAAUAAAAGUAGAUGACUUAACAGAAAAUAUAUUAAAGACUAAUCCAUAAAAAAAAGAACAUAGCUCUAUUAAACCAUCUUAACAACCUCAUUAGGAAAUUUAACUUGACUCAACGAAAUAAAGUUAAAUAUUUUACCAUCAAACAAUUUCAAUAGAAAGAAGUCAUGAAAAAUAAACAAGAAUAAUGAUACAUACAUAAUUUAUAAAAUACCAAUUCAAAAUUGUGAUGCUCUCUUACAAAUCCACACUAAAUAUAAAUAUUUAUAGAUAAUCUUGAUAAAAAAUUAAAAAUCUAACGUAAGCAAACAGUCAAUUCAUCACAAACUAUUGAUUCAAUAAAUCAAACGAUUCUGAAAUAAAUGGUCCUUUAAACAAAAUGUUACAAGAAGCCAAAAAAAAAUCGAUAACUUAAACUCACCUUACGCUGCUUACAACUUUGAACUCACACAAACAACCAAAGAAUGUAUAACGAAUUACUUCUUUCUUAUGAGUUCUCUCAUUAGACAAUUAGUCACAGCCACUUAUUAUAUUCUACUUUGAAUUAAGCAACUUUAAAACAUAAAUUUCAAUAGAAAGAAGUCAUGAAAAAUAAACAAGAAUAAUGAUACAUACAUAAUUUAUAAAAUACCAAUUCAAAAUUGUGAUGCUCUCUUACAAAUCCACACUAAAUAUAAAUAUUUAUAGAUAAUCUUGAUAAAAAAUUAAAAAUCUAACGUAAGCAAACAGUCAAUUCAUCACAAACUAUUGAUUCAAUAAAUCAAACGAUUCUGAAAUAAAUGGUCCUUUAAACAAAAUGUUACAAGAAGCCAAAAAAAAAUCGAUAACUUAAACUCACCUUACGCUGCUUACAACUUUGAACUCACACAAACAACCAAAGAAUGUAUAACGAAUUACUUCUUUCUUAUGAGUUCUCUCAUUAGACAAUUAGUCACAGCCACUUAUUAUAUUCUACUUUGAAUUAAGCAACUUUAAAACAUAAUAAUACACUACGGUCGAUAACCAAUAUCAAAUUGAUCAAAAAAAUAUCAUUUUCUUUCAACAUAUUUUUAUUUUCAUAUUUUGAGCAUAUUUUCUUUAAUAAGACCAUAAAUAAAUUGUAAAUUCAUGUGAAAAUAAAUCAUAUGAACCCGGCGCGUAGCGCCGGAAUACCACUAGUAUAUAAUAAAGUGAAUUUUUUUAUUGCUAAGUCCUCAUUAGAAAUAAAGGAAUUUAUUUUUCUGCUAGUCAAACUAAUAUUUUUUAUUACCUUAAUAAACCCAAAAGAGAAAAGCAUUUAUAUAUACUGAACGAAUUCUUUUAUUGCUAAGUCCUCAUUAGAAAUAAAGGAAUUUAUUUUUCUGCUAGUCAAACUAAUAUUUUUUAUCACCUUAAUAAACCCAAAAGAGAAAAGCAUUUCUAUAUACUGAACAUUCAUUGUAGUCAACAGAUUAUAAUUCCUUAGUCAAAGUUAUACAGUCAUAACUCAUACGUAUCUAUGUAUCAACUACCAUUUCCAUGUUCCAAAAACAUUAUAUAAGAAUCUGAACAAUCAUGUAAAAGUUAUGCAAGCUUUACUUAUCUACAAACUCAAAUUAUAAAGUAAUAGGCAAAAGACAUGGCAGCAUCAAAAACAACCAUCUUUAUUGUUUUAAUCAUUUGUUCUCAAUGUUAACUCCGUUCUUAUAUAUUUUCUUAUAUGUAUAUUAAAUAGAAUUAAUAGACCGACAAAACUAAGAUAUUUCAAUAUUUCAAUUAAUAGGCACAUUAUUAGUGAGUGUCUCUGGACAAGCCAAAGGAUCUUCAUGCUCGACAUCAACUGAUUGCGAGUUGCUGUGUUUUGGAGAAAAAGGGAGAGUACGUCAGGAAUGUGUGCACGGAAAGUGCAGUUGUUUGGAGCAAAAAACCGAAACAGAACUGGCCAAGACCAUAAGUUGCAAAACGGACCCUGAUUGUCCCGAUUCAGGAUGCCCUGAAACCUAUUUUUACCUAUGUAUUCGUGGAAAAUGUACUUGUAUAACAAAAUAAGUUAAUUGAUUGAAAUAAUAAACUGUGACUCCUACCAUAUAUAUAUAUAUACAUAGUCUGUGCCUAGGGACCACACAUGUGAUGAACGAGUGUUUCAUGAUGCUCGUUUGAACCAAACUCCCCCGAACCAACCAAUCGUAGGUCCCUGAAGAUUUAAAUGAUGCCAAGUAUCAGCUAAGGGAGAACGGAGCCUAAUUCUUCCACCAUGAGCGCGAAGGCGACAAACAGUCCUUUAUAACUCAAAGGUCCACCAGUGAUAUAUGGUGUUUUUGACAUCAUUAUAUAUAUGUUUUCAAAGGUUUUUCAGUUUUCUGCCGAGUCUGUCUAGAUCAUACAAACCACGUGGUGUGUUAAGUGGAGAGAGAGAAUUUGGAAAAAUAACUCAAAAAAUUAGUCUUGGUAAAAUCCGGCAUUCUCUACUAUGUGGCAUGUUUAAAAUAUAUAUAUAUAUACAUUUAGUAGUUAUUUUCUUUUCACAUAUAUAGUUUUGAUUAAAUAAAAUCUUUUUUCUAAAAGUAUAUGGGGUCUAGCUUGAUUCUAAUGUUAUCCAGUGCGAGUUAGAGACGCAACAAGUCAAGAGCCUUUAGUGUAGUAUUAUCAACUCUCAAGUAGUAUAUUUUUAGCAUUUUAUCAUUGCAACUCUUGGUUGGUUUUUAGCAUAUUACCAAAUGGAUUGUUAACUUAAGGGGCUGUUAUUGAAUCUAGUAAUUCAAAGAAUUGAAACUGUUGUAAUUUGAAUUUGGGUGCAAAAAUAUCCACGUUUCAGAAUACAUGCUUUCUGGCGGUUUUAAUUAAGAAUCAUAAAAAAUAUUAAAAGAGAAGCUCUAACAUGUCUGCAGAUUACCGAAUGAGAACAUAACAAUUACUAUCAACAAUUAAACAUAAUAGAAACACCAAAGCAUGUUAGAAUUUGUCCGGGUCUUCUUUUAUACGGGUUUGGAUUAUUUUAUGAUUAGUUACAUCGUAGGAGACCCGUAAAGAGAAAGCAUAUUUGAAGUCAUUCAAAAUUCAAAUAAGAAGUGUCGGAUUUGUUUACUCAUGUUUUCCAUACAAAUUACACAAAUUUCAUUGAAACUGACUUUUAAUAAAAUCCAAUGGAUAGUGAAGAACAUAUAAUUUUAAUUCAUUUCAAAUUACAUAUAUCUACCAAAUACUCCCUCCGUUUUUUUAAUAUAAGCUGUUUUAGAAUUGUGCACAUAGAUUAAGAAAUCAUUAAUUUUUUAUAUUUUCCAAACAAAAACAUCAUUAAUUAUUUACCUAACCACAAAUCAACUAAUAAUAAAAUAGAAGGUAUAUUAUCUUUAGUCAUAUAACAUUAAGUGUUAAUAAAUUUUACAUAGAAAACCGAAAACGUCAUAUAAUUUGGAACAUAAAUUUUUUUCUAAAACUACUUAUAUAAAAAAAAUGGAAGGAAUACUCAAUCCAAUAAUAUUAUAUUUCACUUUAGAUUCGAAGUCCCAUUAAAUUCCACUGACUUCAUUAAUUUAAGAGUGAAUUGGUUAAAAACCAUAAAGAAUACAUUAAUUAGGAAAAUGUGUACAACAACGAAAGAUGAAGUUAGAAUGUAGCAAUAGAAAAAGGGAAAUUACCAUUAGAACUUCAGGAAAGUUUUCCAGCAUGUAGAAAUAUACGUUAAGCACUGACAUACAAAUACAGCUUUAAAUAUCAUGGCAGCUACAAAAUAUCUAAACAGAUUUAAUGCAUUAAAUGCAGUUGAAAUAGUGAAAUUCUAGGUUGGACAUUUAGAAUAUAAAUAAUAAUCUUUAUCCUGCAUGGAUUGAUAUUGGUCCAUCAGAAAGAAGGUUAGCCAUUUGUACUUUUUCGGGUGGUCGAAAUAGCUCGCUUUGGUCGGGUUUCAUGCUACUACGACCAACUCCAAAUCCAACACGAACAUGGGACUUCUAGCUUGACUAGGAUGCUCCUCAUAGUCAUUAGGUUGAAUAAAAUUACCUUGACAAACCCAUUUGUAGCCGGAUCCAUCCUUGUCCAUUUGUAAUUUUUAAGGGCUUUGAUCGAACAGUCCGGAUAAAGAGAUGAGCCGGUUAGGAUAAUAUCACUCAUAUUUUAUCUAAGGUUUAAACUGUAUACCUUCUUAUUUUAAACAUCUUUCAUUUGUAACGUAGAAUUUCCUUUAAAGCAACUCUCUCUUUAUCUUUAUUCUAGUAUUACCUUCCAUCACGGAGGAUUAGGAUCAAAGCAUGGAUCAAUAUUUCAGUGUCAUCUAUAUUAUAUGAUUACAAAAAUAUAAUAUUUAUCAACAUAACAACAUAAAUUAUUAUUUUGUCACAUAUUUUCUAAACAUGGAUAACAUAUUAGCACAUAAACUUAAAUACAAUGUAUAAAAGUACAGAUUUCAUAGAGCGUGAUUAAUCUAUAAAUUUAUGUAAAAUGUGAUUAAAUAUCUUAAAUGAAUAUUUGUCUGCACACACGUAUUCAUAUUUAAGUAAUAUAUCUGCAGAAAAUUUAAUAUGAUUAGUAAAGUUAACAAACCUUAAAUAAUAUAUACAUAUAUACUUAGAAAAUACAAAUCAACCGUACUCUCAUUUUUAUGAUUCUCUUUUAAGUUGUUUUUCUAUCAUGUUUUGCUUCACAAAAGCUUUUUCAAAAAAGAUUUUUUCAUAAAAGCUUGAAUUGUAGAUCUUUCUUAUAUAAAAAAAUGUUUAUAAAGCUGAUUUUCAUCUAUUUAAAUAGUUUUAAAUAUCAUAAUUAUAAAUGUAAAUGCGUCUCUGAAAAAAAACCUUGAUUUUCCAUUAUGCUAUAAAAAUAAAGCUACAAAAUAGAAGUAUAAUCUGAUAAAAUCUUAAAGUUAACUUAUUCAGAAGGAAUGAUGUAGAAUUAUUUUCAGAAAAAGAGAAGGAUGCAGAAUAAAGAUCUUUGCUAUACAUAAAACUUAAAAAAAAAAAAAAACCCCGACGUUGGUGGUCGAGUGGCGUGAGGCGGCUCGUAAUGGUCCUAAGGGCCGCGAGUUCGAAUCUCCCCCUCAGAUUAACUCCUACGCCGGGCCACCCGGGCCCACCCUGCUACUUUUGGGGUGGAAAUGACGUGGCUGCUGCGGGCCUCGAGGGAUGUUUGGGCCCCGGCCUGGGACCCUCGGUUAACAAAAAAAAAAAAAAAAAAAAAAACUAAAAAAAAAAAAAAAAAAAAAAAAAAACUUUGAUUUGUUGGUUAGGUGGUGGAAGAGAAAUCAUGCUGGCUGAGGAGAAAUCCAGUCUUGGAGUGGUUAAUACAGAUUUCACAAAUCACAUCUCUUAUCUCUCUAUCUCUUUUCAUCCCUUGUUUGCUUGGAAAAACCAUCGGGUUACUUGAUUUGUUCUCUUAGAACUUUGAGAGAAACUCUUGUGUGACCACUUAAAUCUGAGAGAAACACGUGUGUGGGUGAGGAUAAACACUUGAGAGUGUGAGGAUUAUUUUUAUCUGUUAACCUUUUGUGUUAAGAAUUUUCAGGUUAAGAUGUUUGAAGCUGACCAAAGAAGGCUUUUCAGUCAGUUUGAAGUCCGGGAGUUUUGUGACAACCUUGUGGAGGGUGUGGUGAAAGCCCUCAAAGACGUCAGUAAGAUCCAAAAGAAGAGCACAACCACACGUGCAUCUGUAGCUAAGCAAAAAAAAAAAAACUAAAAAAAAACUUACAAAAAGAUGGAAUGAUAAAGAAGAAGAGGAGAGUAAAAUUAUAUAAAACUAAAAAUUGUUUAAAUAAUAUAUAUAUGAGAUGAAACCGUUGAUAUAUAGAACGUGACAUGAUGAUAGAUACAGAAAAAAAAAAGAUUAAAUGUUUUCAGUGACGAUAAAAUGAAGCAAUGGUUUGUUUUUUUUUCAUACUUUCUUCGUUGUUAGUGAUUUCUCUUCUAAAACAUUAAUGUUUCCUCAAGUUUUGUCAAUGAUUCAUCUUCUUUCACAUAUGUUUUCUCUAUCUAUGGCAUAUAUGUAACAUAAUAUUUUAAAAUAUAGUCGAUAAAAACAGACGGAAAAUGAAUCUAUAAAUUUUUAUGUUAUUUUUUAAAAGACUUGUAGUUGCACGAAAACUUGGAGUUGAUUACUCAGAUUUUCCAUCACUAAUAAUAACGAUGAAGCACUUACUUCUUCCUUUUGAUAACAUGAAUACGUGAUAUGGCUCUUGGGGUUUGAUACUUCGGUAACAAAUUAAAAAAAAACAUUUUGGUUAUAGAUAAAACGUAGAAAAGAAAACCACUACAUGUGGAAAUUAUAUAGGAGAAAAAAGAAAACAGUUUGAUGAUAAUAAAAAAAUAACGUCGGAUUAAAAUUAAGAGAAAAGUUAGAAAUUUGGGUAGUUGAAAAUUUGGAUUGCAUUAAAAUAGAAAAUGAAAUAAAAAAAGAAUUUGCACUCCCUAUACACAGUAACUAAGUAAUUUGCAAAAAUGGAACUUCUACUGUUUAUUUUUCAUAAUGCUACUGAUGCCCCUACUUAUCCUAACAUACACCUAUAAACUCAUUGUAUUUAUUUUUAUUUAAAUCAUUUUCAUAUCAGUUGCUCUUAAAAGAAAAGAUGCCUACGGUUUUGGGCGACAAGAUAGACGAUUGUCAGAUCCAAAACUUUUGACGGCGCUUCACGACAAAACCAUCGUAACUUUAUCUCCUACGCAAGAAAGACUACCCCACACUUCUUGCUAGGUUUUGUAAGGUUAUAGCUGCUAUAAUAACUCGAUUUCUAGCGUUUUGCUACGUUCUUUUCACUCUUGCCAAGAAUUAGAUCUUUUGUAUUUCAAGCAACCCUCACGUUUAUCUUUGAAAUCCACAGCUAAGCUGGUGGUGUCUGCCCUUUUUCGAAACAAUGAGUUCACAAUCCAACCUAAUCCGCCAAGGAGGGAAUCCUGCCGAGACAAGACGCCAUCUGGACCCAACGGAGGAGGACGAGAUCAUCCGUAUCCCAACAUGCGAUCUUACUGCGGCGUUUGAAAGCUUCAAAAGAACCCUAAUUGGAAGAGUUCUACACAGAGGAGGCAGAAGUGUUGAAGCGAUGAUUGCCCUUCUCCCGAGAGCUCGUAUCUGGAAUGUGGAAGGGAGAGCUCGUGGAGUUAAUCUGGGCAAUGGCCGUUUCCGUUUUGAUUUUGAUAAGUAGGAAGAUCUUAACAUGGUGUUGAACGAGAGGCCAUGUCAUUUCAACCACUGGAUUUUUGCUCUGGAACGUUGGGAACCAUCAACAAGUGAAAAUUUCCCCAACACGAUCCCCUUCUGGAUCAAGAUCACUAGGGUCCCAGUCUACUUCUGGAAUGAUGAUACUUUCAGUGCGAUUGCAAAAGCUCUGGGAAAAUUUUGGAUAUUGAUGCAAAGAAUGCUCGUAUCCAAGUCUCCAUCGAUGCUGAUAGACCUCUUAAGUCUCUCACUAUAAAUACCACACAGAAACCUUCUUCUUCAAAUCAUCGUCUUACAAUGGCGUCUUCACCUUUCAUCUCCGUUCUUCUUCUCUUGAUCAUCUCACUCUCAUCAUCCUCAUUUGCUCAACCAUCAUUCCGACCAAAAGCUCUCGUUCUCCCUGUCACCAAAGACCAAACCACCCUCCAGUACACCACUGUCAUCAACCAGCGCACUCCUCUCGUCCCCGCGUCCGUUGUCUUCGACCUCGGUGGUCGUAAUCUCUGGGUAGACUGCGACAGAGGUUACGUCUCCUCCACUUACCGCUCCACUCGCUGCCGCUCCGCCGUGUGCUCACGCGCCGGCUCAGACGGCUGCAGCCAGUGCUUCUCUCCUCCAAGACCCGGCUGUAACAACAACACGUGCAGCGGAACUCCCGACAACACUGUCACCAGAACCGCGACUUCCGGCGAAAUCGCUACAGACGUAGUGUCUAUCCAGUCCACCAACGGAUCCAACCCGGGUCGGAUAGUUCAAAUCCCCGACUUAGUUUUCGUUUGCGGGGCAACCUUUCUGCUCCAAGGACUCGCUAGUGGAACCGUCGGUAUGGCUGGGAUGGGACGCCACAACAUCGGUUUACCGUCUCAGUUCGCCGCCGCGUUUAGCUUUAACCGGAAGUUCGCCGUCUGUCUCACUUCCGGUAGAGGCGUCGCUUUCUUCGGUAACGGAC